GGGGAUGUAGCUCAGUGGAAGUGUGCAUGCUUUGCGUCUAUGCGUUCCAGGGUUUGAUUCCCUGCAUCUGUG